UGAGGAAUAUUGGUCAAUGGGCGCAAGCCUGAACCAGCCAUGCCGCGUGCAGGAUGAAGCAUCUAUGGUGUGUAAACUGCUUUUGUACGGGAAGAAACAGCUCUUCGUGAAGAGCCUUGACGGUACCGUAAGAAUAAGGAUCGGCUAACUCCGUGCCAGCAGCCGCGGUAAUACGGAGGAUCCAAGCGUUAUCCGGAAUCAUUGGGUUUAAAGGGUCCGUAGGCGGUUUUAUAAGUCAGUGGUGAAAUCCGGUAGCUCAACUAUCGAACGGCCAUUGAUACUGUAGAACUUGAAUUAUUGUGAAGUAACUAGAAUAUGUAGUGUAGCGGUGAAAUGCUUAGAUAUUACAUGGAAUACCAAUUGCGAAGGCAGGUUACUAACAAUAUAUUGACGCUGAUGGACGAAAGCGUGGGGAGCGAACA
rnacentral:rRNA from 1 species